CUGGAAGGACAUCUCCCCUUCCUAGUCCACUGCAUGGCCUGCAUUUCUGCCCCUUGCAACCCUACUCUGAUCCUGCUCCUUGCCCUGGAUUGGCAUGGAGUGGUCUCAUUCAGCACAUUCAUCUCCUUCCACCUCUUUUGCUAGGUCUUAUCUGCCAACUACACAUCCUACAAAUCUGAUUCUGUGCUCUUCUAUUUAGGCUCCUUCAGGCCUCCCCACUGCCCAGCAGAGAAAAAAAUCCAUUGAGAUGUAUAAACUCUCCAGCCACAUCUCAUGUCAUGUUCCUCUCCAAAUUAAUGCCAUCAUCAUACUAAGCUUCCUGAGCUCCGCCUCCUGUCAGAUCAGCGGCAGCAUUAGGCUCUCAUAGGAGCAUGAACCACACUGUGAACUGCGCAUGCGAGGGAUCUCGGUGGCUAAGAUUCUGAACCAUUCUACAGCGUAACACUGAUGCUGUAGAUUAAUGGCAGGCUCUUUAUGAGAAUCUAAUGCCUGGAAAUCUGUCACUGUCUCCUACCACCCCU
rnacentral:lncRNA from 1 species